rnacentral:rRNA from 1 species
AGCGAACGCUGGCGGCAGGCCUAACACAUGCAAGUCGAACGCACCUUCGGGUGAGUGGCGGACGGGUGAGUAACACGUGGGAACGUACCUUUUGGUUCGGAACAACACAGGGAAACUUGUGCUAAUACCGGAUGGGCCCUAUGGGGGAAAGAUUUAUCGCCGAAAGAGCGGCCCGCGUUAGAUUAGCUAGUUGGUGGGGUAAAGGCCCACCAAGGCUCCGAUCUAUAGCUGGUCUGAGAGGAUGANCAGCCACACUGGGACUGAGACACGGCCCAGACUCCUACGGGAGGCAGCAGUGGGGAAUCUUGCGCAAUGGGCGAAAGCCUGACGCAGCCAUGCCGCGUGAAUGAUGAAGGUCUUAGGAUUGUAAAAUUCUUUUAGCAGGGACGAUAAUGACGGUACCUGCAAG